AACGAACGCUGGCGGCAUGCCUAACACAUGCAAGUCGAACGAGACCUUCGGGUCUAGUGGCGCACGGGUGCGUAACGCGUGGGAACCUGCCUUUAGGUUCGGAAUAACUCAGAGAAAUUUGAGCUAAUACCGGAUAAUGUCUUCGGACCAAAGAUUUAUCGCCUUUAGAUGGGCCCGCGUAAGAUUAGCUAGUUGGUGGGGUAAAGGCCUACCAAGGCGACGAUCUUUAGCUGGUCUGAGAGGAUGAUCAGCCACACUGGGACUGAGACACGCCCAGACUCCUACGGAGGCAGCAGUGGGGAAUAUUGGACAAUGGGCGAAAGCCUGAUCCAGCAAUGCCGCGUGAGUGAUGAAGCCUUAGGGUUGUAAAGGCUCUUUCACCGGUGAAGAUAAUGACGGUAACCGGAGAAGAAGCCCCGGCUAACUUCGUGCCAGCAGCCGCGGUAAU
rnacentral:rRNA from 1 species